rnacentral:rRNA from 1 species
GCAGGCUUAACACAUGCAAGUCGAACGCCCCGCAAGGGGAGUGGCAGACGGGUGAGUAACGCGUGGGAAUCUACCCAACUCUACGGAAUAACUCAGGGAAACUUGUGCUAAUACCGUAUACGCCCUUCGGGGGAAAGAUUUAUCGGAGUUGGAUGAGCCCGCGUUGGAUUAGCUAGUUGGUGGGGUAAAGGCCUACCAAGGCGACGAUCCAUAGCUGGUCUGAGAGGAUGAUCAGCCACAUUGGGACUGAGACACGGCCCAAACUCCUACGGGAGGCAGCAGUGGGGAAUAUUGGACAAUGGGCGCAAGCCUGAUCCAGCCAUGCCGCGUGAGUGAUGAAGGCCUUAGGGUUGUAAAGCUCUUUCACCGGAGAAGAUAAUGACGGUAUCCGGAGAAGAAGCCCAGGCUAACUUCGUGCCAGCAGCCGCGGUAAUACGAAGGGGGCUAGCGUUGUUCGGAAUUACUGGGC